ensembl:lncRNA SNHG14 small nucleolar RNA host gene 14
GCAGAGGUUGCAGUGAGCUGAAAUUGUGCCAUUGCACUCCAGCCUGGACAACAAGAGCAAAACUCUGUCUCAAAAAAAAAAAAAUUCCCAAUAGAUUUUAAUCUAAUUUUAUUAGAACAAUUCAGUCAUAUGUUUUUUCAUGCUAUGUAUAUGAGAGUUCCAUUAUUCAGAUACUAAACAAAUGUCUACUGUACAUUUACUCUUCUCACUGAUGAUGGAUUAGAUAACCAUGCACAAAAUAAGCCUGGCUGUGGAAAUGCUUAUUUGUUGGGAGGGUGCUUGUUUGGAUCGAUGAUGAGAAUAAUUGUCUGAGGAUGCUGAGGGACUCAUUCCAGAUGUCAAUCUGAGGUCCAGAUGUGUGGCCCUCCAAUAGGACAAAUAAGACUCUCAGAGCCUGGCUCUAUUUGGGGAUCCCUCAGUGACAACAUAGUACCUCUGUGAGCGUGCCUUUUCUAUCUCUCCGAAGAGGGCAUUAGCAUCCUGUCUUAUGAGUCAGUAUGCACUUUAGUAUGGUUAGUGACCCAAGACUCACUUUAUUUUGUUCAUUUUGAGCAGAGAAUUGUAGAUAGAUACAUAUAUGGGAAAUAUGUUCUUGAUUAACAAAUGAAAAAAUGAAAAAGUUUCAGUCAAGAAAGGUCAAGGAACUGUGAUGUAUAGUGAAGGCAGGGAACACUGCAUGCCUGUAUUAAAUAUUGACAAAGGAACCAAUUUUAGUGCUUUGUUAUUUUUACUGUUGAGUAUUUUCUGAGACCAUUUCUUUUUCUUCUAUUUUGUUUUGCUGAGGUAGAGGAGGGCUGGAAUGAGGUCCUCCACUUCAGAAAAUAGGGGUGAGUAGUUAAACCAACAUCCUUUGGAAUUCAUAUACGUCAUGCGUUCCAUGCCACAUCCUGAGAUCUUUUUGUUGAUUUUUUUAGUGGCUUACUGGAUAAUAUCUAAAUACUGUAUAUUUUACUUUGGUGAGUCUCUCCACCUUCAUUUCUGAAUCAUUGUCCUUUACAUUUUUAUUCUAUUUGAAUUUUGCAUGAAAUGACAAAUGUAGAAUUUUGCCCAAUUUAUUUUAUUUAUUCAUUUAUUUAUUUGGGAAGACAAAGUCUCUCUCUGUCACCCAGGCUGGAGUACAUUGGCCCAGUCAGAGCUCACUUCAGCUCUUCACCCUGUAGCCCUUAACUCCUGGGCUCAAGUGAUCCUCCACCCUCAGCCUCCCAAGUAUCUAGGAAUACAGUUGUCAUGGGAGGCCAGCCGCCUGCUGGCAAGGAAGAUGGUUGAUUCUUCUGAUCAAUGGAGGCCCUGCAGAGUCCUGUAGUCACUGUGGCCUGGCAUCCAUGGUGCACCCAAUGCUGGUGGAUGGCUUAGGACGAGGCAGUUGCUGUGGGAGGUGUGGUAACUGCUGGAAGGAAGAUGCUCAAUUCUUCUGAGCAACGAAGGCCACACGGAGUCCUGGAUUCUGUGUGGCCUGGCAUCCAUGGCGCACUGUGUGCUGGCAGGUGGCUCAGGACGGGGCAGUUAUCAUGGGACACCCGCCAUAUGCUGGCAAGGAAGAUGGUCAGUUCUUCUGAGCCACAAAGGCCCCCAACAUCCUGGAGUUGGUGUUGCCUAGCAUCCACGGUGCGCCCCCUGCUGGUGGAUGGCUCAGGAUGGGGCAGUUGCCGUGGGAGGCCCGCUGCCUGCUGGAAGGAAGAUGGUCAGUUCUUCUGAACCACAAAGGCCCUGCAGAGUCCUGGAGUCUGUGUGGCCUGGCUUCCAGGGUUCACCUCAUGCUGGUGGAUUGCUCAGGAUGGGUGCCGAAGGUCUUUAAGGUCGUCAGCUCACCUACUGCCCAGCCUGUGGUGUCAAAUGUCCUGCCUCUUCAAAUGUGUUUGGAUCGAUGAUGAGUCCCCCCAAAAAAACAUUCCUUGGAAAAGCUGAACAAAAUGAGUGAAAACUCAUACCGUCGUUCUCAGCGGAACUGAGGUCCAGCGCGUUGCCUCCAGCAGGGACUGUUGGAGUGAGGGAGAGCUUCCACUAGUCCCUAUAGGUUCCACCACCCAGGGCAUCCGCAGGGACAGUUGCCGUGGGAGGUCCGCUGCCUGCUGUCAAGGAAGAUGGUCGAUGCUUCUGAGAAACAGGCCCUGCGGGUUCCUGGAUUUGGUGUGGCCUGGCAUCCACGGUGCACCCCGUGCUGGCGGGUGGCCCAGGACGGGGCAGUUGCCUUGAGAGGCCCACCGCCUGCUGGCAUGACAGAUGGUCAGUUCUUCCGAGCAGUGGAAUCUCCAUGGAGUCGUGGAGUCGGUGUGGCCUCGCAUCCACAGUGCACCCUGUGCUGGUGGAUGGCUCAGGACAGGGCAGUUGCCGUGGGAGGCCUGCCGUCUGCUGAAAGGAAGAUGGUUGAUGCUUCUGAGCAAUGAAGGCCCCAUGGAGUCCUGGAUUCGGUGUGGCCUUGCAUCCGUGGUGCACCCCGUGCUGGUGGAUGGCUCAGGACGGGGCAGUUGCCAUGGGAGGCGCAGGCCUGCUGGAAGGAAGAUGGUCGAUUCUCCCAAGCAACAAAGGCCACGUAGAGUCCUGGUUUCAGUGUGGCCUGGUAUCCACAGUGCACCCCGUGCUGGUGGGUGGCUCAGGACGCACACUCAUUUCCUCUGCACCUUCCUGGUGUCAUUGGCAUGGAAGGAAGGCCCUUGUCCAAGAAGGAUGGUCUUCGUCUUGUGUGAUCUUUGAGAUGCCAUGAGGCCCCUGGAUACAAAUGGUGUGGGCUCCUUUGGAGGCUUUUGGAUUUCUCCUGAAUGUGGCGUUGGUAUGGAAGGAAGGCCAGUGACCGCAAGGGAUGACUUUGAUCUUGGGAGAUUUUUGGAGAUGGCAAAGUGCUUCUAAACAUGUUUGGCAUGGUCUCCUUCAGGCUGGUGGAUACCUCAGGAUGGUGGCGUUGGCAUGGAAGGAAGGACUGUGUCUGUGAGGGAUGAUCAUCCUCUCAUGUGAUCCUUGGAGAUGCCAGGAAGCCCCUUGACACAUGUGGCAUGGGCUCCUUCAGAGGCUUUUGGAUCCGUCGUGAAUGUGGCAUGGGCAUGCAAAGAAAGACAGAGGCUGCAAGGGAUAAACUUCAUCUUGGGAGAUCCCUGGAGAUGGCAGGGAACCCAUGGACACAUGUGGCAUGGGCUCCUUUGGGUGCCGGUGGAUCCCUUCAUACGGUAAAGCCAGAGUUGGGUAUCAACCAGAUACACUGCAGGGGAUCAGAGGACAUGGCCUUUGUGUACUGCACAUCUGUCAGAUUUUCUCAAGCACACCCGUGUUUCCUCUUCACCUCCCACGUGGAAGUGAUGAAUUGGCCAGGACCAUGUUGGUGAGGGACAAUCAUCAUCUCAUGUUAACCUCAGAGAAGCCAGGAAGCUCCUGGACACACAUGGUGUAGGCUUCCUUGGAGGCUGUUGGAUCUCUCCUGAAUGUAGUGUUGGUGUAAAAGGCAAACCCGUGUCAUGAGGGAUGGUCAUCAUCUUGUGUGAUCCUUGGAGAUGGCAGGAAGCCCUGGACAUACAUGGUGUGGGGGCUCCUCCAGAGGCUGUUGGGAUCCUCCUGGAUGUGGUGUGGGCAUGGAAGGAAGGCCAGUGGAGACAAUGGAUGAUCUUGUUCUUAGCAGAUCACUGGAUGUGGCAGGGAGUCCUAGGACAUGUGUGGUGUGGGCUUCUUCAGGUGCUGGUGGUGUUGGCAUGAGGAAAGGAGGUAUCUUCGAGGGACAAUCUUCUUCUUGUGCGAUCCUUGGAGAUGCCAUGAGGCCCCUGGACACAUGUGGUGUGGGCUCCUUUGGAGGCUGUUGUAUCCCUUCUGAAUGUGGCGUGGGCAUAGAAGGAAGGCCAGUGGCCACGAGGGACAAUCUUGGUCUUGGGAGAUCCUGGAAAUGAUAGGGAGUCCCUUGAUAUGUGUGGCAUGGGCUCCUUCAGGUGCUAGUGGAUUCCUUAGGAUGGUGGUGUUGGCAUGAAAGGCAGGCUUGUAUCAUGAGGAAUGAUUGUCAUCUUGUCUGAUUCUUGGAGAUGGCAGGAAGCCCCUGGAAACACAUGGUGUGGACUCUUUCACAGGCUGUUGAAACCCUCCUGAAUGUAAGUGAUUUCAUUCCAAAGCACCCUGAGUUUCCUCAUUUGCAGGGAUGAAACCUGUGUGUGGAUCGAUGAUGACUUCCAUAUAUACAUUCCUUGGAAAGCUGAACAAAAUGAGUGAAAACUCUAUACUGUCAUCCUCGUCGAACUGAGGUCCAGCACAUUACUCCAACAGGGGCUAGACAGAGAAGGCCAACAUCCGUUUGUUGACAUGGGUUAUAUCAAGGCGUCUGUUCAGGCUUAGAAUGUGGUCUCUUAUGGGUGAUGGGGGUCACAGGAGAGUGGUGGCUCCCAUGUAUAGGAAAUUUCUUGUUUGAAGGACUGUCAGUGAGGGUGGGUAACACAUGCAUUGUCUGCAGGACUAGGUGAAUGUCCAUGUGGCCUAGCAAGAGUUAGCUGGUAGCCCGCCUCUGGUUGCCAAUUUGUUCUUGAGUCCUUGUUCUGGGUUCUCAGGUCCCACGGAGGAAAACAGAUCUGUGUGGUUGAGAGGUGGGUACAAGGCCGCAUCUUUGUCAUUUGUUGGCUAACUUUGUCCUUGGUUGAGGACAUUAGAGUUUUGGUCACCAGGCAUAGCCUAUGUGCCUUUGUGCCCGUGUUGUAUCCCACGUGUUUUGAGGACAUGUAUUUUGCACGUAAAGGUGAGCUCCUGCUCCAAGCUGGUUCUGAUACCAAAGGAGUCCCUGGCUUAUCCUAAACUCAUGGUAGGUUAAAGCCUUCCUCCUUAGGGGUUCAGGGCCGCAAGGCUUUUGUGAGUGGCAUUGCAGGCGUUGAAGCAGUGAUGUUGAGAGGGAUGGUCAAUGUCAGUGCUCUUUAGCAGGAUGGUGUACUGCAGGGGCCCCCAGCCCCGAGACGAGCAUCCCUGCAUCCAUGCAUUUCUGCCUCCAUGAACAGGGGAGGCCAGAGACAGGCAGAUAGUAGAUAAAUUGCAGGGGACUGGAUGACAUGGCCCUCGUGACCUGUGCACCUGUCUGUCUUUCUGAAGCACGCCUGUGUUAACUCUGCACCUCCCAGGUAGCACUGGCAUGGAGGGCAGGCACAUGUUGGUGAGGGACAAUUGUUACCUUGUGUGAGCUGCGGAGAUACCAGGAAGCCCCUGGACACAAAUGGCAAAGGCUCCUUCGGAAGUUGUUGGAUCCCUUCUGAAUGUAAGCACUUCUUUCCCAGAGCACUCUGAGUUUCCUCAUUUGCAGGGACAAAUACUGUGCGUGGAUCGAUGAUGACUUCCACAUAUACAUUCCUUGGAAAGCUGAACAAAAUGAGUGAAAACUCUAUACCGUCAUCCUCGUCGAACUGAGGUCCAGCACAUUACUCCAACAGGGGCUAGACAGAGAGGGCCAACAUCUGUUUUUUGACAUGGGUUAUACCAAGGCAUCCGUUCAGGCUUAGGAUGGGGUCUUUUAUGGGUGAUGGGGGUCACAGGAGAGUGGUGGCUCCCAUGUAUAGGAAAUUUCUUGUUUGAAGGACUGUCAGUGAGGGUGGGUAACACAUGCAUUGUCUGCAGGACUAGGUGAAUGUCCAUGUGGCCUAGCAAGAGUUAGCUGGUAGCCCGCCUCUGGUUGCCAAUUUGUUCUUGAGUCCUUGUUCUGAGUUCCUGGAAGGAAACAGAUUUGUCUGGUUGGGAGGAGAAUACAAGGCCACAUCUUUGUCGUUUGUUGGCUAACUUUGUCCUUGGUUGAGGACAUUAGAGUUUUGGUCACCAGGCAUAGCCUAUGUGCCUGUGUGCCCGUGUUGUAUCCCAUGUGUUUGGGGGACAUGUACAUUGCAUGAACUAGUGAGCUCCUGCUCAUUGCUUCUGAUACCCAAGGAGUCCCUGGCUUAUCCUAAACCCAAUAUAGGUUAAAGCCUUUCUCAUUAGGGGCCCAGGGUCCCAAGGCUUUUGUGAGUAUCAUUGUAGGUAUUGAAGCAACGAUGUUGAGAAGGAUGCUGAACAUGCUCUUUAGUGGGAUGACGUACUCUGAAGGCUCCUGACCCCCAGAUGAGCAUCCUUGUGUCCGUUAACUUCUGUGUUUAUGAACAGGUGAGGCCAGAGACAGGCAGACAGCAGAUGUAUUGCAGGGAGCUGGAUGACAUGGCCCUUGGAACCUGUGCACAUGCCUGCCUUUCUGAUGCACGUCCAUGUUUUCUCUGCACCUCCCCGGUGGUGUUGGUAUAAAAAGCAGGCUUACAUCAGCAAGGGAUGAUUGUCGUCUCAUGCGAUCCUGGGAGAUGGCAGAAGUCCCGGGACACAUGGAGUGUGGGCUCUUUCGGAGGCUGUUGGAUCCCUCCUGAAUGUGUUGUGGCCAUGGAAGUAAGGCCAGUGGCUACGAGGGACAGUCUUCAUCUUGGGAGAUCCCUAGAGAGGGCAGGGAGCCCCUUGACAUGUGGAAUGUGAUCUCUGUUGGGUGCUGGUGGAUCCCACAGGUGGUCUGGCAUGGAAGAAGGCCAGAGGCUGCGAUGGAUCAUCUUUGUCUUGGGAGAUUCCUGGAGAUGGUGGGGAGCCCCUGGGCACGUGCAGCAUAUGUGGCGUGGGCUUCUUCAGGUGCUGGUGGAUCCCUCAGGAUGCUUUUCAAGGUUUUUCUAUGAGUUCUGUUAAAGAGUCUGAAAAUGGAGCGUAGAAGACAUGCUUCGAUUUCCAGGAUGGUUGUGUUUUCCAGAGAGGCGGAGGUAAACCACUGGCGCAGCCCUGCCUCCCACAGAUAAUUCCGGGUGCAGUGUUUCAUAUCUAGACUUGGACUUCUAUCCUACCAUACUUCUUUGUGUGCAGUUCAUUGUGGAACCAGCACAGAUUUUCAUACGAAAGUUAUUUCUUUUUAACCUCAAAAAGUGACAGAAUGGAGUGUAUCAUGAAAAAGUCUGACAUCAAAACCUCAAAAUGUGAUAUUGAUUGGGUGAGAUAGAAUUCCAUGGAAUUUCAUUGCCAAACCAGUGAAGUGCUAAUUUUGACAUUUGUACCAGCUAACGUAGCUGUGAAGAAACACACCAAUACACUUCUAAGGACAGCAUAGACCAAGAUCUAGGUUUCAUAUGGAUGAAUUUAUUCUUCCCUUUGAGGCAAGACAAGAAGGAAAGAAAGUAUUGGGAAUAAUGCUGCCCUCCCAUCCUCAAGGGCCAGUGGGAACUCUAAUAUUGGUAAGCCUUUUGUCCUGAAAAUACCAGCAUUUCCUCUUAGGGAAUCAUAACACUCUGCUAACCGUGAGACUCUGGCUAUGCUAGUCCGCCAUGGGCUGGUCAUUGACUGUGAUCCUGGUCUCCAUGAUUGAAUAGUGUGGGUCAGUGUGUCCCAGAGUGACAGAUGUGCUCAGUGUCUGCCACAUAUCUCAGACUCAAGGUCCCUUUUAUAAAUGUGCCUGGAUCGAUGAUGACUAUAAAAAAAAUGGAUCUCAUCGGAAUCUGAACAAAAUGAGUGACCAAAUCAUUUCUGUGCCACUUCUGUGAGCUGAGGUCCAGCACUGGGACCAUGCCAGGCAAACAUGAGGAGGGAGUUUACAGGGACUAGGGUAUUGGAAAACUAACCUACCCAUAUAUAUUAGAGCAAAUGAAUUGUUCUCAGUUCUGUAAAUAUCCAGCUGUGGUUUGACAUAGCAACUCUCUUUGUAUUUGCUUGGCAGCAUUUAUAGAAACAGCUGGUAGACCCUGGGGAACCAGGGCAUAGUGAGAUUCAUGGGACGUUAUUUCACCUACUCUUGAGCCAUUCACACAUUUGAGCUCGCAGAAUUAUCUGGUCAAUGAGCAGUCUCUUGAGGGUAAUGAGAUGGUCAACAUCCAAAUCCAAAGAUACUAAUGAGAUUUUACUUUUUUUUUUGAGAUGGAGUCUCAUUCUGUUGCCCAGGCUGGAGUGCAGUGGCAUAAUCUCGGCUCACUGCAACCUCCACCUCCUGGGUUCAAGAGAUUCUCCCGCCCCAGCAUCCUGAGUAGCUGGGAUUACAGGCGCCCGCCACCACCCCUGGCUAAUUUUUGUGUUUGUAGUAGAGAUGGAGUUUCACCAUAUUGGCCAAGCUGGUCUCGAACUCCCAACCUCAGGUGAUCCAGCCACUGCAGCCUCUCAAAGUGUUGGGAUUACAGGCAUGAGCCGCCGUGCCCGGCCUUACUUUUUAUUUUCAAUUAAGUGAAACAAUUACAUGGAAAUUGAAAAAAAAAAAAGGUACUCUAAGUAGACUACUCUAGUGUAUUUUAAUUUUCUUGCCAAUUCAGCCACUAGGAUUGUGUCACUUGUUUUUUUGAUUUUAGUUUUUCGUAUCAAAAAGCAAACCACUGUUUAUAUUUGAGUGCUGGUUUCAACUGUAUGCUGCCUCAAAUAAACUUAGAUUAUAUUACAAAUUCUUUUUUACAUAGAUUUCAUUGGCUAUAUUCAUAUAUCCUCAAAGGUUUCCAUUGUGUUUGAAGAGGUAUCCUAAUUGUAAUAAAUGCUUUUGAUUGGGGAUGCCAGGGAAGCUUUGAGACUAAUGUCUCAGAUUUUUUUUAAAAAAGUUUAUAUUCUAUAGUGAUCAAAGAUGUAAGAAUAAUUUUUCUUGUCAUUCAUUGGAUAGUCCAGUGAGUGUCUACUGUGAAUUCUUAUAUUCACUUGUAACUAAACAUUCCAUUUGGCAAAUUUCGUUUCAUAACUUCCCUAAUUUCCUCUACACUUUGUAGAUUGGGUGAGAUACAAUUCCAUGGAAUUUUACCACUGAACCAGUGGAGGGCUAAUUUUGUCAUUUGUACCAGUUAACUAACUUGGGAGGAAACAGAACAACACACUCCUGAGGUAGUAUCCAAUUUUUAGUAAAUUUAUUUUUAUUAUUUUUCAAACUGUCAGUGAUUUGGUUUGGUGAACAAUAGGUUAAUACAGACAAUGUUAGGAAUUAUUAAUCUGAUGCGCUAUCUGAAGCAUCAGUUUCCUUUAUUUUUAAGAUUUUUUUCUUCUCUGUAGUUUGGAUAAUAUUUAAAACAUUUCCAAGAGUUAUAAAUUAGUAUAUUUUCUAUGCUGAUUAAUAAUGAAACCUUUUGUCUUAUACAGAUUUUUAAAAAAUGGACGUGUGCGUGCAUGUGUAUAUAUAUAAAUAUAUAUAUAUAUAAAAUCUCUUCUCACAAGAUGAUGCAGACUAAAACUGCAUUUUACAUUUUAUAUGGCUAAGUUUAUUGUUUCCUUGUGUUGUAAUAUGAUGGAAAGUAAUGGGAAUAAUUCUGCUUCCUGUCCUUAGGGACCAGUAGGAAUUUUCCCAUGAUAAGCAUUUUGUCCUUAAAAUACUGACAUCCUGUUAAGAGAUCAUGACACUCCAAUGACCAUGAGACCCUGGCUAUGCUAGUCAGCCAGGGGGCUGACCAUUGACAGUGAUGCUGGUCUCCAUGAUUAAAUAGUGUGGGUCAGCAUGUCCCAGGGUGACAGAAAGCUGUGUGAUCAGUGUCUGUCACAUAUCUCAGACUCAGGGUUCCUUUUUAAAAUGUGCCUGGAUCGAUGAUGACUUAAAGAUUUAUCUAAUUUAAAUCUGAACAAAAUGAGUGACCAAAACACUUCUGUACCACUUCUGUGAGCUGAGGUCCAGCACAGAGACCACUCCAGUCAAACAUGUGUUGCCUGGAGUUGCAACUAGUUGGUCAGUUAGAAGCAACCACAGGGACUGGGGUAUUUGAAAACCACUUGAGUGCAUUUAUUAGAGGAAACGAAUUUUACAUUUGUGUAUAAAAAUUCAAUUGUAGGGUAAAAUGGAAACUCUGAGAGUUUGGUUGGCGGCAUCUAUAUACCAUAGAAACAGAGCCUGGGAAGCAGAACAGUGAGACCCAAGAGAAAUGUUCCUGCCUAUACUUGGUCUGUUCUCACAUUUGCCUGAGCUACUGAUUGAUCUUUUGAGGGUGAUGAGAUGGUCAAAAUCCAAGGAUAUGAUGAGUUUUUACUUCUCAUUUUCUUUUUUUUUUUAUUAUACUUUAAGUUUUGGGGUACAUAUGCAGAACGUGCAGGUUUGUUACAUUGGUAUACACGUGCCAUGGUGGUUUGCUGCACCCAUCAACCCAUCAUCUACAUUAGAUUGGUUUUCACAGAAUUCCAUGGACUUUAACUGCUGAACCAAUGAUGCACUGAUUUUGUCACUUGUACCAGCUAACGCAUCUGGGAGGCAACAAAACAAUACUCUCCUGAGGUUAAUGUGGACCAAAAACUAGAUUUCAUAUAAAAGAGUUUAUUCCUUCUACUUGAGGUGUGACAUGAAGGAAAGUAAUGGAAAUAAUUCUGCCCUCCCAUUCUCAAGGGCCAGGGGGAAUUCAAAUAUUGAACGGAAGUGAUUUUGGAAUUGCAUGGAAUUCUCACUGCCAUCCCAAAGAAAUGCUGAUCUUGUCACUCUUACCUGUUUCAUUCCCUGGGGGCAGAACAAAAGGACGCACUCCAAAGAUCGGCAUGAACCAAGAACUGGGUUUCAUAUAAAAUAUUUUAUUCUGUCCUCUUGAGAUGUGACAUGAGAAAAGUAUUGAGAAUACUUCUAUCACCUCAUCUUCAAGAAUCCGUAGGAAUUCUCCCAUGGUGGACUUUACGGUUAACCUGAACAGGUCUUGGAAAAAGGACUUUAAACAUUCUCCUGUUCUGUGGAAUAAGUAUACUUUUUUCUGGACAUACACCUUGUCAGUGAGUUCCAUGUGAUACUAGAGUUGCAUAGAUUUUUAACCUUUACGCCAAUGAAGAUCUGAGGCAAACAUUGCCCCUUUUUUAGAAGUUUGCAUUUGUCACUGAUAACUGUAAUAAUUGAUCUUGUUGAAAAGCCUGGGAAAUGAAGAUCUGAUAUGUCACUUUUACCGGCUUCCUCAACUGAAAAAGAAUACAAUGAAACACGCUGAGAAUUUUUGUGCUUUCUCAGUCUUGCUGAUGAUCUUUCUAUGGGCCUGAAGCGUGGAGAGUGCCAGAGAGGCUGAUCCUCAGCAGUGUGGCAGAGGAAAGUUGGGUGCGACUAAGGGGUAUGCGGUGCCCACAUGCCACUGGGUCCUCAGCAGUACCACCUGAUUGGAAGUGAUAUUGGUGGAAGACAACAUUUUGCCGCUUGGAAUUCUCACCUCCACACCAAAGAAGUACUGUUUUUGUCAUUUGCACCAGCUUCUUUCUCCAGGAAAGAUCAAAACGAUGCACUGCAAGUGUGAUUGGUCCAGAUAGCUGCCUUAUCCAACUGCCUCCUUUGGACCACUUCAUCAUGGGACAGCUUGAUGCAAUCUACUUGACAAGACCCUGGAACCCCACACCCCUCAUGGAACCAGUGUCCACCUCCCAGUCACAGUGUGACCCCAGGGAACUCUUGCCUGCUUGCUUUAAACCCACCACUUAAAAGUCUCCACAGAAAACCUGUUUGAAUAGUACCCUUGACCCAAUAAGGGCAUUGGCCCCUGGGUGUCUCUCUCUCUCUCUCUCUCUCUCUCUCCCUCUCUCUCCCUCUCUCUCUCUCGCUCCCUGACCUCUGCGUGUGGACUCCAGGCAUGCCAUAUACCCCUCAGGACCUGAAGCAAAAGAAUGAAUUAAAGAAAACUCCAGAGAAUGAGCUGACAACCUACUCCCUGGUCAGUGGCUCUCCAUGCCUACCUGUGGUCUCUUGGACACCCUUGCAGAAGAUGACUUCCUGGGAACUCUUCUGGGAGUGAAUGUUAUCAGCAAAUUCCCAAAACAACACCCCUUAGACAAAAAGCCUCCUCACCUAUGCAUUGCCUAGACCACCCACUAAAGGUGAUGGCCACAAAGAGGUGGAUUUGUUGAGUUGGUGCCAUUCCUUCUACUGCCAGCUUCACCAAAACAAUGACACAGUCUUCCUUCCGCAUGGAGACUCUUCUCUUUCCUGUGUUGCAGUGGAUGCCUCCUGCAGAUAAGAAAUGCUUAACUGAGAAAUGCUCAUGUUGGGAUAUCAUCGAUGAGACUUUAAUUUGGGCAUGGUGACUGUUUCCCUUGCUGCCACUUGACUCAAUCCCAGGAGCCUCAGUAGAGGAUAUAAUAUUACACAAGAUGCUCAAAAUGGUGGAAUUGCUCAGUGCUCCCAUAAAUAUACAUUUAUAAUUUUCAUUUGCCACAUGGUAAACUGAAAAAUACAGACUAUAUUAAAAAGAAACUGCAUGAUUUUUUUUCAAAAAUUCAAAGCAUAUUUAAAUAAUAUAUAAAUUAAAUGCCCUCCUCUCUUCCAAUUCUGUCCCUAUAGUUUUCCUCUAUUAAGUGAACUACAUGCAUUCUUUUAGUGGAUAGAUGCACACAAACACACAAGCCAUUAUGGGGAAGGAUCCACGUGUGUGGCCAUAUUGUAACACAUUUUUCUGCAAAUCACCUCUUUCAUUUAACAGCCCUUAUUCAAUGGCCUUUUUCUUUUUCAGUAGUACAUACACAUCUGUGUCAUUUGUUGAAUGACGACAUGAAUGUUUUGUAGAUAAAAUAUAAUUAAAUGUUUUAAGCAUUUCUCACUCAUAGAUAUUUAUGUUAGCACCAAAUUUCUGUGCAAUGAACCUCCCUAUAUAUCAGUAAUUUUGCAUUUGUCUAUAAUAUCAUAAUAAAUUACUUAUCAGUUGAAUUACUGGGAUUAAGUAUGUGCACACUUUAUAUUUAUAUUUUGAAAAUUAUUGCAAGAUUGCCUUCAAAAAUGUGGUUAACAACUUUAUCUUCAAAUGGCAAUGAAUGAGAUUGCCAGCUUUCCUACAGCCUCACAGACAAUGGAUUUUAUAAAUAUUUAACAUUUUUGCCAAUGUGAUCACCCAAACUAUUGUCUUAAAUUGUAUCUCUUUUGUUUUUGAGUUUGGUCAUUUUUUCAUGUUUAUUAGCCAUCUGUAUUUUUUAAUUUCUUCUUUAUGUCCAAUUUUGUGGGUGGGAGGAGGAUUUAGUCUCUUCCUGAUUUCGAAGAGCUCAUUUACUAUUUCGGGAAAUAAGAUUUGGAUUGUCAACCAUUAUAGCUAUUUUUUACACACUUUUCAACUUUGUUUUUGUUAUAAGAAUGUGUAUGAUUGUUACAUGUCCAAGUAUAACCAUGUUCGCUUUUAUGGCUUCUGAGUUUCAUGUCAUUUUUGGAAAGAUAUAUAUAUUGAGUCCAUAAAACCCUUCACCUAUGUUAAAUUCUAAUUCUUUUGUGUUUUUUUAAUUCAAAUUCUUAAAUCAUGAGAAAUUUUUUUGUUUUGAAAUCUUAAAGUUGCCAAGUUACUUGCCAUUACUUGCGAUUAUUUGCCAAUAAUUGCCCAUUUAUCUGUACCGCCAUCUUGCGCAUAUGCUGUACUCUCAUCUGUGACUGGCUCCAUUUUUGUUCUGUGGAUUUGUGUGUCUCUUCUUCUGCCUCCUGUCUCGUGUCUGCUCGUUGGAAGAAAUUACAGUUUAGACUGCAAUUUCAUCAACUUUAAUAAAUCAAUUGAGGGGAGAAUUGGUUUUUAAAAAUAUUAAGUAAGUCUUCGUAUCCAAGGACAAGGUAUGUCUUUUCUUAUUCAAUAAUUUUAAUUACUGUUAAUAUUUUCACUGUGGUGAUGGGAGUUUUUCUUUUAAUUUAUUUUCUUGUUCAUUUUUUGUAUCUAAAGUUUUUGUUUUGUUUUGUUUUGGGGGUAAGUUGUCACCUUACUGUUUCUUGUUGCUUUUCAGAUUUUUUCAAAGUAUAGACUAAAUCCUUCACAAAUAUUUAAAGUUUUUAUUUUCCCCCUUCAUAUUGAUCCUGAUUUUAGUUAUGUUGACAAAGUCCACAGACUGUUACUAUCAGAACACUUGAACAGUUAUGGAAAUAUUACCUACCCUUGAUUUAAUCAGAGUUUAAUGGUAUGCUUCUUUGGUUUGACUGGCACAUUGUCGCUGGUCAUUUCCUCCCAAAGACCACCAGAAAGAGCUAUGAUCAAGCAAAGCUGAGUUUGUUAAACUUACCUGCAGCAAGGGAAAACACCACCUUGAUAGGGUUUAAUAAUGUUUCAAAAUCAAGAAAUGAGGCUUUGGGGUCUGGGCAGGGAACUAAUUAGAAAUGGGCAAAAUUUGUCAUGCAAUACCUUGUGGGAAAGUGAGAUGAGGUUCUUAAUGUGAGUAUUGAUGGUGAAAUCAUUUUCUAGGUGAGCUGUUUGCCUAUAUAAAGAUGUUAUCAAUGACAGAAGAACUAUUUGCCUAGAUAAACAAACUGAAUUUAUUUAUUGGUUUACAGUUUUAUCUUGCUGGGCAGGACUCUGCUGGGGGUGGUAUCAGGUCUUAUUCCCAAUAGGUAAGUUAUUUGGAUAUGGGUGGUCUUAAUCAUCAAUGUGUAAAAUGCUGAUUUUAAGUGCGAAAUACUUUGUCUACCAUGUUAGGAAAGUCUGCCACCUUUUAUCUUUUUUAAGGAAUUUUAAUCAAAACCAGGUGGUAGAUAUAAUCAAAUUGUUUUGCAGAAUCAAUUUUCCUGUUCUCUUUAAAGACUUUUAUCACUGUGAAUUAAUUUACUAUUAUUGCAACUUCCUUUAAUUCCUUGAAUGAACAGACCCUACUGGUUUUAAAAAUGUUUUAUUCUUUUAAUUUACUACUUAAUUGUGGGUAUUUUAAUUUGAUUUGGAAUUUUUACAAGUAUACAACUAAGUGAAAUUGAUCUGUGAUUUUUCUUUUUUGUGCUAUUUUUGUCAUGUUUUGAUAUCAGAUAUUCUGGUUGUGUUAAAAUAAUUUUGAGGAUUUUCUUCUUAUACUGUGUUCUAGAGUGGGUAAAAAAGCCCUAGUCUCACUAUCAGUGUUUAAGUGAACACAUCAGUGACAUCAUCUGGACUCUCCUUUGUUUUUGCUGGUUUGGAGUUAGGACAUCUAGAAGUUUUUUUCUUUUUUUCCUUUUUUUGUAUGGUUAUUGCUUGUUCUUUGUUUUGUGUCAAAUUUAACCUGUUUUCUCUUAGCAAAUCACAGCUCAUGCAGAUUUUCAAACACAUUAGCCUUGUUAUACAAAGUGUUCUUUCAUCAUUCUAUUAAAUUUCCAUUUUCAUUCCAGUUAUAGUUAUUUCUGCUGUGCCUUUGUUAAUGAAUAAGUUUAAACAGUGGAUGUUUAGCAUCACUAGCCUUCCCCUUCCAUCUCCCUUAAUCAGGACCUUGGUAUAAUUUAUCAGGUAUUUUUUAAGGUUCUAAUUUACUUAUAUAUAUUGUUUCUGUAUUCUUUUGUUUCUUUUCUUAAUAAAUUCUUAAA